ensembl:lncRNA
AUUUUUGUUGGCCAUCAGGGUGCUGCCUGCCCUGCCUCACCCAUGGGGGGACAGCUGACACCUGCAGGCAGGUUAUCUUGAUGGAAACUAAGGCUAAAAGGGCACAACAAAUCAAGGCAAGGAAUUUGCAUGUGUAGCCCACAAUGUAUUUUCUGUAGAGGAUUUGUACUUGUUCAUCCAGUGGUAUUUCUUCAUUUAAGAUCAUCUACAUUCAGCAGGAUGCUGAACAAGAAGUGGUGGCAUCCUUUGCCAACCCUCAGUGUUCUUACAAUAUGGUGCAUAGUGAGCAAGACUAUCAUACGUCGCCCUUCUUUGCCUUGAAUUCUCUUCUUUCCAUUUCUGUCUGUCCUUCUCUGUUCGUUUUUCUAUCUAUGUGAUUUAGCAAGUAACAAAAUGCCAUGCCCAUUUUCACGCAGCCUGCAGUUCCCCUUCUCAGCCAUAUGCACCCACUGCUCUGCCCUAGUCCUGCCCAGCCCUCCUGGUGCCUGCAUCAUUGCUUGGAAUGAACAGGCAACAUUAUUAUGACAGUUGAACACAGAAAAAAAAUAUUUUCAAUUAUAAAUGUUCAGAAUUCUACAAAAAAAAAAAAAAAAAAGGCAGAGAUCAAACGUUUUUUUAGGUCUUUGACAUCUUUGAAUGUGUGUUAGACAAAGGAAAAGAUCAGUGCUUCCAGAAACUCAUAAAACCUUUCCUUUCUGGUGGAAGAAUUUGUAAAAUUUGAGUAUCUCCUCUAACCUUAACCUUAGGUGACCCACUAAACUCAGAGAAGUCUUUGCUGGAACAACAGAAGACAUUUGGUGUUUCAGGUGCUGGCUUUUGUGUACCACUAUACUAUUUGCUUGCACAAAGGCACUCCUCUCCAAAGUGAGAUAAAUUGUUUUGUUGCUUCCAUGUGAAGCACAUGAACUGCUCUCCCACCUUCUGACUGACAUCGGAAAGGCAAUGGUCUGCCUUGAACAGCCCUACCUCACCUGCUGGAGCCCUCUGCCCCCGUGCAGAGCUGGGCUGGAGCAGGCACUGGGGCCAACUGCAGUCCACUGAAUGCAGCUGAGAUGGAUCCACCAAUGGAAGAGUUCCUGCAGCACGGAUGGACGCACUCAGGGUACCCACCACCACGAAACACCAUGCAACAGAGUCUUGAGCCUCACUCUAAUAUCAUGCGUGCUGCAUUCAACCGACAUAAAGGCAAACAGAAAGGCUGAAUUUACGCCAGCAAGUCACAGUAAGCCGUGCAUUGGCAAAAUAUUUAAUCGUGCUGAAAUUGGAGGCCGGAUCCUCCCACGUGGCUUUAUUUUGGCAUUGCAAACUGCACAUCUUCGAAAGCUUCUCCGGGAGCAGUGGCAAAACCUUACACUGAGGACUAGUUCUGAUUUGUGGAGGAUAUGGAAGAGAAGUGGGAAGAAAGAAAGCUGCUGCUGUUUGGCGGCUUGUUGUUUGGGGUUUUUUUCUUCUUCGCUUUAGGCAAAUGAAAGGAAUAAGUUCACUUAUAAUUGCUUUCAUGUAAAGAAAAGUUAAUAGAAAUUUUAAUAACGGUAGCAGCUUAGGAGAGUUUGAGGCCAUGACACGUGCAGUGCAAUGGAGGCAGCUCCUGCAGCAGGCUGCAGCUGCCCAUUGCUAUGGCUCUGCUUGGGGCACAGGGGGAGAGCUCCGGGAGAAUUCAGAAGGGUUCAUUCUGCCCUGGUUUUGUGCAGCCCUGCGUGCCCAUUGCAUACACAGAACACCAUGUAGCAGCAGUGUGACCAUUAGUCACUAUGUCAAUGUACAUAAAAAGGAACAGGCUCAGUAAUAUAUAUGAUGAACUUUUACUGAUUGUCGUAUGUGCCCUUCUGAGCUCUUCCCCUCUGGGAUCCACAGCAUCAGCGCUUCCUUCCCUUUCUCUUGGGCAGCAGCAGCAGCAUUUCUGUCCUGCUGGUACUGCAGGCACCAUGGCUGUUUGCUUCUCCUGCCAGGCAGCAAGCCAGCACUGAGGUCAGACUAUUCCCAGGAUGGAUGCAAGGUCCUGGUGUCAGCACUGCUCUCAUCAGUGUUGCAUACAUCAGCUCAACUCCUGCAGCCUUCUUGCCUUCUGAGCCUCCCAUGCAUUGAGGCCACCACCUCCCAUGAGGAUGAAGGGGAGGAAGAGUGGGGUGCAACCAUGCACGCCCCAUUGGCAGAAGCACCUGGGGGUCUUCAUUGACCAACACUGUGAAGGGCACUGUUAUUGUGUGUGCACUGUCCUUGUAGACUCACCUCAGCAGUGAUCUCACACCACUGUGCACUUUCCUGGCACACUGACAAUCCCAGUGAGCAGCUGCAGUUCCAUGGUGGCUACAUUAAGAAUGUGACUUCUACAGCCAUCACUGCGGCCAUCAGCAGCGGAUGUCUGCCGUGCAGAGGGACGUGCGUGCCAACAGCAAGCACCUGGGCAUGGAAAGCUGGUUGCUGUUACUGUAAGUGAACCCUUCAGUUUGUAAGUGUGAGGAAACUGGAGAAGUUUAUGAAAGAAGAAAAAGGAUGGGGUACCGGGAGACAAAAGACUCAUCGCCUUGCAGGAAAGGGAUGAAUACAGGAGAAGAGGAGAUGGAUUGGAGCUCGUUUUGAAGGCAGAAGGAGCCAUCCCCAAGUCAGCUUCCUGCACUUCCAGUGACAUUUAUAGAAGUGAACAGAGAUUCCACUGAUUUCACUUUUGACCAUCAGCCUGAACGCGUCCUCCCAACUGGAAGGGCUUUUUUCACCUUGAUGAUCCUUGAGGUCCCUUCCAACCCAAGCCGUUCCAUGAUUCUGUGAUUCACCGACUGCAUCACAUCCAAUAAGGAAUCCCAGUGCAGCGCUGAAGCAACCCUCCUUCAUCUUCAUAGCACAGCAGAAGAUAAUCACAAGGAUGCCAGGACGUAUUCUAAGUGGAGAAACAUUGGCAGUGGAUGUCACUGGAGCAAGAUCCUGGAGACUUCUGGGAAGGAAGGAGGUUGUGAGCAUCGGCUGCUCCGAGGGGUUAGUAUAAGUGAAAUAAAAGAGGCAGGGAGAACAAUGACUGCAUGUGUUUUCCUAACUAGCAAUGCAUUGUCAGUGCAUCAAUGUUAAUUUUUAAAUGGGAUAUCUACAUUGUACAGUGAAGUAAAUGUAUCUCAUGUUCUUAUUCUGACUCUUAAUCCCAAGGCCUGUGGCUCCUUAAGUCUCAUUUGUUUAUCACCUCAAAGUUACAGUCUGGAUUUUAGCAGUGAUCGGACUGAAGUUACCCUCAGGGUUUUAUUCCCACAACCCCAGAAGCUCUCUUCAGACAGGUCUUUAUUUGUUGAAGUGUAUUUAUUAUCCACUUGAACUUCUCUGAGCAGAUAGUAUUGAAAAUGAGAACUGCACGAGGCUGUUCCUACUGCUUGCAGCUCAACAUGCACUGAAAUGGUUAAAUUCUGCACUUCAUUUUUGCAAAUGCUCUCUCAAAUUAUUUUGGCUUUUGUGAAAUUUUCUUCCCUCCGGCUUCAUUUGCUGGCAUAUCUAAAAACACUUACACACGCAUAACUGAAAUCCAACACAUCGAUGGCUAUUAACCUGUUGGAUGUUACCUAAUGAGCCCAUAUGUUGUACUGUCAUUCAUUUACUGUGACAGAAGGAUGACAUGGAAAUGCUGACAUGUAUCUCUGUUGUUUAAUGCAGACACAGCGUAACUCAUUAUUUUGUGCAGCAAACUGAAGUCUCUAAUGCCUGCAAAACUGAAAGGGUGCUACAGUAACUGCUUGUCAGAAACAGAACAAAAUCUGCCUUUCCUGUGCGCAUAUAAAAAUACAGGUGACUCUACAAGCAGCUCAAUUUGUCACUCAGCCCCAUCCAGGGCUUUUCAAAGUGAGCUUUUAAUUCUCUGUGGCUGCCUAACAGAAAUCCCACCACGUCUGCGUGAACUGAAAGAACCGCACGUUUCUCCAACUGUGACCCCAAAUAGGUAUUAAUGCAGCUGUUACAUCCCAAAUACUUCUCUAACAGUUCUCAGAUUGUUCUCCCCAUUCAGUUACAGCAGUCUGGAUGGAAAUAGAGAAGAAAACAAGUGCUAACCUCGUAGAGCAGUUGUGGAUGGGUGAGUAGCAGCCCAGGGGCAGCAUUUGCUUUAGGUCCUCCUCAUGGAAUUAGGGUCAUUACUGUGAUUUACUAAGAAACAUAUGUGCAAGUAUGCACUGAAACUGCAGAAAAUAGAAUUUUAGAAGCUUAUUCAGCAGUGGAUUUCAGCAUACAGAUGCUGGAUAUAAUAUACUCGCACUAAAUUGGAUUCUGGGUGAAUAAAGGAGCUGCUCUUAAAUUCAGCUUGGAGCCCUGCUCAGCACUCAGUUUGAAAUACACAGCCUUUUUGUUUCGCUUUUGCAACUUAUUCAAUAAAUAUUUUGGCAUGCCUGUCUGUUACACUGCCUUAAUCUUCUCUUCAACUGAGCAGAAAUUAGCAUUUGUAAUUUAUUCGCCAAGGGAAACUAAAAAGGCUUUGCACCAGGGUGAAAUUGAAUGCCCAACAGAUAACCAGAAUGCUGAGUCAGCACAAUGUGCAUUUGACAAAUAUGCCCUUUGCCUGCACCUAACUUAAUGGACCACAUGGCAAAGAGGGGGGGGCAAGCGUUUAAGCUUUUAUAUGUGCCUUGCUGGAAUGGUGCAGGGCUGUGGUGGCUCACCGUGCAGUGCCAUCAUCCCCUCUUCAUGGCCCGUGACCAAUGGCCAUGCCAUUCAAGUCCAUUUUUCAUUUCAAGCAAAUCACAAGAUGCCCAUUUUGUAUAAUAAAUAACAGUUAGACCAGUGUUUCAGUUAUCCUACUAAGAAACAAAGUCUGUAAUCAGCUCGAUUUCCUUUUUUUCCCCUCAAUCCAACCCCAUGCAGGUUUAAAUAAAUUAACCCUAAAAAAAGCAAGCCAAAUACCCACUCAAUAGAUUUCAGUGACUAGAUAGCAGGUUCACCCUUGGGAUGACUCGUAUAGCUCAUUAUUAGAAUCACAGAACCAUUCAGGCUGGAAAAGCUGUCUGAGACCCCCACCCUACCUGUGCCCGCGCCUGGCCGCUCUCUGGAGCAGACAUUGCUCUGAGAGCCAACCUGACCCUCCCUGUACAGUCUGAGGCCAUUCCCCUCUCAUCUUAUUGCUGGGGCAGAGUCCAACCCCCACUUCACUACAUGCUUCUUUCAGGGAGUUGAAGUCACAUCCUGGAGUCAAUAAGGAGCAGUUUGAGCCAUGCCCUUGGCCCCUCUCCUUACAUAAGAGAUGAAUUUUUGGCACAGAGUGCUGUUUUGGUUGCACCUGUUUCUUAUUUGGUCUCAUGAAUCAUUUGGGGCAUUGUUAUGAGGCAGGCCAAUAAGACAGACAUAUGCCAAUUAGGGCUGUUCUGAGAAGCAGUCACAAUGCAUGUGGUUUAUGAGUGCUAAUGUCAUUGAUUUCUGCCUUUUCAAUGAGCUAGCCAGCACUCUGCAUAGAGAAUUUAUAAUCAGAAACAUCCCUCCCUAUUGGCACAUGGAUAGGGCCUGACUUUUAUUGCAGCAGCGUUUGAUCGAUGCAGCGAUAUGCCGUGUGGGGUGGUGAGCAAUGGGUCUCAUUCUGCCAUACGUGGAGCAGGAGGCACUCCCAGCACAACAGCAGAAUACCGGCGUACUUCAAUGCACAGUUACCUGCUUGCUGGAGAAGGGAGGCAUGAAGCUGUUCCCCCCUCGUGUCCCACUUGCACACACUCCCGUUUGCAGCACAGUCACAUAGCAGCCCAUGCUUGCUGAAAAACAAAGUAAGAAAAAGGAGUGCAAAAUGUACAACUAUUACUCUGCAUAAGAAAAUUAUGGAAAGAGAAACUAGCAUAGAUUGACAGUGUGUGGGGGGGGGGCAGAUGAGUACUUACUCUUUCCAGCACGAAUUGCUUUGGUUUUUUCUUCCUUUUUAGUUUGUUAUAACCAUAACUUUAUUUAAAUGUUGCUUUUCUUUCCAGCGUGGCUGUGGUAAUUUCUUAGAGAACAUAUUUUAAUGGCCUGGCUGUACGCACAGGAUUUCUGUUUGUUUCUGUAAUUGCUUCUUAAUUAUUUUCCAAUUGCUGAAACAACAGUUUCCACAGUUUAUUAAAAAGCGUUUUUGAAAGCUUUACCCGAAGGCAUUGUCAACAUUUUAUUACUAUCACUAACAGCCAGCACAAAUGAAUAAUCACCAGCCCUGGUAGCUCGUGUCAAGCAGUAGAGAGCUGUCAGAGCCUUAUGUGGAAAUUAGGGUGAUGUAGGAAUUGGGAUGCAUUCACUGUGCUUCCGGGUUGGAGCAGCCCCAUUCCCACCAUGGGAAUGGAUUAACUUUAACCCCAAUGGCAUCUCUCUUUUAGGUGUGAUGUCACUAACAGAGAUAACAUCACUGCGUUUGGAAGGAGAAAUACUCUCAGAAAUCUUAAAAAUAACAUUACAGCAACUUUCUUUUGUUGUUUAAGCCACUUUUGCCCCCACACAUAUAUUGUAGGGAAAAACUGGCCUGAUCCGUGUGGUUAUAACAACCGAUUGUAGGUUGUUAUAUGUAUUGUUAUAUGUACAACCUCUAUGUAUUGUAUAACAACCUACAAUCGGUUGUUAUAACCAGCACUGGGUAGCCUCAGUAGCAGCAGCCUGCUCCCCUAGCCAUGUGCAGAGGUGCCCUUCCUGCAGAACUUUGCCAAGGAUGGAACCAAGAUUUACUGUCAGAGCAGUGAGCUGCUGCCCAACACAGUACCGCAUCCCCCCCAACCCCAUCACUGCCCCCCAUGCCACCUCUACCUACCAGUAAUUCAUGCCAUCUCCUCGGAGGACAGAAGUCGUCAGUUCCCACGUCUUCUCAAACUUAAGUAUUCAAAAUACCUAGAAAUUAGUCAGAAGUUUUAGGACAAAGGGUUCAGGGUGGGAAUUUGCAGGAUAAAGGACAGGUUUACCAAAUCUCCCACUGCUUAAAACAAAAGAAAAGUGGAAAACUUCAAGAUGUGUCUAUCACAAAAUAUUUCUUUCAAACAAAAAUAAAGAAAAGAGGGAUCAAAGUUGGUAAUUGGCAUUCUUUUCAUUCCAAUUUGCUGCUAUUUUCAAGCUCCUAAUUUCUCCUCUAUUGUUGAAUAGGAUCGUUUUGCUUUCCAAACCACCCUCCCCCCCCCCAGCAGCCCUGAGCACACACAGCCCUCCUUCUGCCUCCAGGCUGUGGUGCAGCUACAUCUCACUUCAGAGCAUCCUCCCCCUUUCAGCCAGCACCCACAGUUUCUGCCUGCUGAUUCAAGGGCUGGGAAAGAGAAAACCCACUUGAACUCCUGGGGGCUGGAGCAGCACGAAGGUAAAGCCUCAGGUCUCUCUCUCCGUUCUUUCAUAACAGUGCCAUCUUUUCAAGUAGGAUUUAUUAGAAACAGCAGCUUCAUUUCUAUACAGGUGGGAAAUAAAUGCUUUGCUUAUAUUCUCUUCCUAUACUCUUCUCAUAACCUAAAUCAUAUAAAUGAUUCCUCAUUUGCCUUUAUCAGCUAUGAGAAGAGUAUUGGCUGGAUAUAAAACUCUCAUUUUAAUACUUUGAUUGGGAAAUGCUAUGAGAGGAACCGAUGCCUUGAAGGCAUUAUGAGCUUUGGUGAAGCAGAAGUUCUCCAAUUUGUGCAGCAGCAGAGAGGUGCCCUCACCCCUGAGCAGGAUGCAAUAGCUCAAUAUAAACACAAAUGUAUGGAGGUUGAACACAUGGAACACAGCACUGUGAUUGCAGGGUGACGUGAUGAGGUUGGCACAUAAUUUACUAACGAACAUAAACAGCAGCUGACCUGCAGAUACAAGAAGGAUACAUGAGUGGUUCAUCACAGCUGACGCUUUGCUGCCCUCCUGUAUCCCACGUGCUGAGAAAGGAAAUGCGCUUGAAUGCUUCCCCAUUCUGCCCAUACAGCACUGAGAGUCUCAUCACAAUACAGAGUUGAGUUGUUGGUUUCUCCUGUACAGCUUGAAUCAGCGUAUCACUAUCCAAAGGGACAAACCAGAAAGCAUGUCAGGCUGCCAAGCAGCGAGCAGGUGCUGCAGCCAGGUCCUGAAAGGGAUAUGGGCUCAGCCCUGGGCUGCCAGGAGGGGAUGGAGCCCUCCACCCACCUCAGUAGUCCAGGGACAGUUACUUACAAGAGAGAGUCUUAAACUGUUAAAAAAGUUUCCAAUAAAACUGUUUUCAUAAAAAACCUGCUUGAUUUUAUCGAUUGUUGCAGAUUAUACAGAGGUAUAGGCACACAUUUCUAUCACAGAAUCACUGGAGGUGCAGAAUUUACUGUCUGAAUGCCUGUCACACAUCUGUGUCUUUAAACCUGAACACUGCUUGCUCCGUGAAGCACAUAAUUCUCCUAUUUAUGCAAAGCACUCCUAAACCCUCUGCAUUCUUUGUCCAGGUCAUUUUGCAGCACUUGGCACCUGCCUGAUCUUUUCCUUUGAUGAAUUUAUUAGAAUGCAUACAAGCUCUGUGAUGAUCGUCAAAUGCAGCUGCAGAGUGAUAAUAUUUUAUACAUGUAUGUAUUAAUGUUUAUACAGAAUCAAAGAAUGAAUCAUAGAAUGGCCUGGGUUGAAAAAGAUCUCAAAGAUCGUCCAGUUCCAACCCCCUGCUACGUGCAGGGUCACCAACCACCAGACCAGGCUGCCCAGAGCCACAUCCUGCCUGGCCAUAUAUACAUACAUGAUGUUGGGCUGCCCAGCCCAUAGCAGCCCCAAGCACCUCCAUCCCAUGUCCAGCAAGGGACAGGCAGACCUUUGACGUUAUACCACACUCCAACAGCCCGGAGGAAAUACUGGGCUGUGAACUGUCAAUGGAGGUGUGCCCACCAUUGUAUUGAUAUUUUCAUGGAAACAUUGUCCUUCAUACACUGAAAGGUUUCCUACUGAGACAACAGGGAGUACCUCUGGCUACCCUGAACACCACUAACAGCAGAGUCCUACAGGCACACCUAUGAGAAGCAGAUGUGUUUUGGCUUCAGCUGAUCACGUAGAAGCUGUUGGAAACAGCUGAGUGAUACCUCCUAGAUAAACCCAAGGUAUUUACUGGAACUAAGCAGAAGCAUUAUUAUUUAGUAUCGAUCCCCCUGUGAUGAACCAUACUUUACAAGGUCACUCUAAAACACGAGCAAUGAUUCCAAUGUUAAGACAUCCUUCUCUUUGUAAUGGGAUAAUCACAGCCAUUCCUCCCACUGCCCUGCAGUGCAGCUUCCUGCAUGGAAGAGAUCUUGGCU